rnacentral:rRNA from 1 species
GACGAACGCUGGCGGCGUGCUUAACACAUGCAAGUCGAACGGAAAGGCCCUGCUUGCAGGGUACUCGAGUGGCGAACGGGUGAGUAACACGCGGGUGAUCUGCCCUGCACUUCGGGAUAAGCCUGGGAAACUGGGUCUAAUAUCGGAUAGGAGCCAUUCUUAGUGUGAUGGUUGGAAAGUUUUUUCGGUGUGGGAUGAGCUCGCGGCCUAUUAGUUUGUUGGUGGGGUAAUGGCCUACCUAGGCGGCGACGGGCAGCCGGCCUGAGAGGGUGGACGGCCACAUUGGGACUGGGAAACGGCCCAGACUCCUACGGGAGGCAGGAGGGGGGAAUAUUGCACAAUGGGCGCAAGCCUGAUGCAGCGACGCCGCGUGGGGGAAGACGGGCUUCGGGUUGUAAACUCCUUUCGCUAGGGACGAAACUUUUUGUGACGGUACCUAGAUAAGAAGCACCGGCUAACUACGUG